rnacentral:rRNA from 1 species
GGCGAGUGAAGCGGCAACAGCUCAAAUUUGAAAUCUGGCCUCGGCCCGAGUUGUAAUUUGUAGAGGAUGCUUUUGGCGCGGCGCCUUCUGAGUUCCCUGGAACGGGACGCCAGAGAGGGUGAGAGCCCCGUACGGUCGGACGCCAAGCCUCUGUAAAGCUCCUUCGACGAGUCGAGUAGUUUGGGAAUGCUGCUCAAAAUGGGAGGUAAAUGCCUUCUAAAGCUAAAUACCGGCCAGAGACCGAUAGCGCACAAGUAGAGUGAUCGAAAGAUGAAAAGCACUUUGAAAAGAGGGUCAAAUAGCACGUGAAAUUGUUGAAAGGGAAGCGCUCAUGACCAGACGUGUGCCUCGUGAAUCAUCCGGCGUUCUCGCCGGUGCACUUCGCCCGGCACAGGCCAGCAUCGGUUUUCCCAGGGGGAUAAAAGCCGCGGGAACGUAGCUCCUCCGGGAGUGUUAUAGCCCGUGGCACAAUGCCCUUGGGGGGACCGAGGCCCGCGCUCCGCAAGGAUGCUGGCGUAAUGGUCAUCAGCGACCCGUCUUGAAACACGGACCAAGGAGUCAAGCAUUAGGGCGAGUGUUUGGGUGUCAAACCCGCACGCGAAAUGAAAGUGAACGCAGGUGAGAGCUUCGGCGCAUCAUCGACCGAUCCUGAUGUAUUCGGAUGGAUUUGAGUAAGAGCCUUACCGCUUGGACCCGAAAGAUGGUGAACUAUGCCUGGAUAGGGUGAAGCCAGAGGAAACUCUGGUGGAGGCUCGCAGCGGUUCUGACGUGCAAAUCGAUCGUCAAAUCUGGGCAUGGGGGCGAAAGUAAGUGAAUGACCUAUACCUAAACGUGGAUCAGUGAGAAAGCAAAUGCUAACCGCAGUGUCUUACAGGACUAAUCGAACCAUCUAGUAGCUGGUUACCGCCGAAGUUCCCUCAGGAUAGCAGUGUUGUUUUCAGUUUAUGAGG